rnacentral:rRNA from 1 species
GCCUGCCCAAUGACUCUGUUUAACGGCCGCGGUAUCCUAACCGUGCGAAGGUAGCGUAAUCACUUGUUCUCUAAAUGGGGACUAGUAUGAACGGCAUCACGAAGGUUAUACUGUCUCCUCUUUCUAAUCAGUGAAACUAACCUCCCCGUGAAGAGACGGGGAUAGAACUAUCAGACGAGAAGACCCUAUGGAGCUUUAAACAAUAUAGCACAUGCCAUGUAGAAUAAAAAUUUCCGAAUCUCUCACCCCAAAGCAACAUGACUAUAAGUUUUUGGUUGGGGUGACCGCGGAGCAAAACUUAACCUCCAUGUUGAAAAUUUUUAAACUAAGAAUCACUCUUCUAAGCAUCAAUAUAUUGACACCAAUUGACCCAAUACAUUUGAACAACGAACCAAGUUACCCUAGGGAUAACAGCGCA